rnacentral:rRNA from 1 species
GAUUAUGGCUCAGGAUGAACGCUAGCUACAGGCUUAACACAUGCAAGUCGAGGGGCAGCAUGAUUGAAGCUUGCUUCAAUCGAUGGCGACCGGCGCACGGGUGAGUAACACGUAUCCAACCUGCCGAUAACUCGGGGAUAGCCUUUCGAAAGAAAGAUUAAUACCCGAUAGUAUAGUAUUUCCGCAUGGUUUCACUAUUAAAGAACUUCGGUUAUCGAUGGGGAUGCGUUCCAUUAGAUAG